rnacentral:lncRNA from 1 species
GCACAAGUAAUUUUUGUCACUAAAAAUUCAUUUAUAGCGACGAAAAAAAAUGUCACAUAAGAGUAUUAUUAGCUACAAUUUUUUAAUUCGUGCUAAACUAUAGAAAAUUUUCCCCAAUUUCAUUUUCCCUCCCACUUUUCAUUAAACAAUAUAAUAAAUAUUUAUUUCUUUAUAAUCUUCCCCUUUCCCUUUACCUCUCACGAUAACCCCCUUCCAAAACCCAUCCCCGAUCUUCACCACUCCACUCCACGACAGCUGGUUUCUCAACCCAAGAAGCAUUUCGCCGACGACCCAAGCUCUUUAUUUCGACCGUCGACGACGCACGAAAGCUUUCGGUCGCUACCCAAGUUGAAACAUUUCUCCUUCCGUUGACAACCCACGAUUGCAAUGUAUCCCCACCAUUUCAAGAUUUUUACGCGUCCUACUAUUUUCGUCGGCAACCCACAACUUCACGCGUCUCCACCGUUUACUCCAGUGACCCACAACCAUUACCAUUUCUGUCGACAACCCACAACCAUUACCAUUUCUGUCGACAACCCACAACCACGAAGAAGCUCUUUGACCCACGAUCAUUUUCGUUUCGGCUACCACAAUUGUUUCUAUUUUGACCCACCACAUUUCAAGUUUUCUUUCUCCUGAACCUCAAGAUCUCUUCUCAACCUAAAAUUUCAUAGUAGAUUAUUGUUGCUUUAAGUUUUUAUUUGCUAGAAAUUCUUGGAAUAAGAUAAAUUGUUUUGGUUACUUCCGUAUUUGAAAAGGUUUUUUAGUUUCUCAUUCUAUCUUGAUAUGUGCCUGUUGUGUGAAAUAAAGCUUUAAAUAUAUUGUUCUUUCUUUUGUUAAGGAGGUUCCAACCAUCCUUUGAUUAGAGAACAAUAAUGAGUUUUGUUGAGGAUAACAUUUCAAGUUAAUCCUUAUUUAAGCUUCUAUCAUGUGUAUGCAUAUCUAGAUUAGUUGUUGUUGGCUUCGAUCCAUUAUUUUGCAAUUUACAUAUGGCUAGCUUUGAUUCUAACAUAUGGAUUUCUAACUUAGGUACUUUAAACGUUAUUAUACUUAGUAUGGACCGAAGUUGGAUAAAUUUAAGAGAUCGAGCUUCUAAUGAAUAUUCUGAUGGUGUUGUUAACUUUAUCAAAAUUGC